AUCUCCUUGCUGAGCUGUGGUUUGGUGGACUGUUUCUUUUGUGCUGAUGAAUGAGUUUCAUGUAACCAGUUUUUGGAGGUGGCUUGGUGACAGCAGAUGGGUGGCCAGCUGAUGGACAGCACUGGGCUGAUUUAUCUUUUUCCCCUGGCAGCCAUUACUUCUUACAUGCUCAGUGCUGGAGUUGCUAUCAAGCUGGAUAUCCCUGGGAACACUCCAGACCCUUGACCUUCUCACCACAGGAAAGGAGUGCAGGGGAAGGCUUGCUUCACCAACACGUGGGUUCACAACCCCAAACAGAAUGCCAGCAACAGAUAUAAGCAUGCUCUUGCUAAAUGCAAAAGACUAUAGAGGGACUGAUGGGUGGCAUCUGUGAGACAAUACUUCUCAGGAGAGAGGUGGGAAGGGGAAGGUGAAAGAUCCAUAACCUACUAUCACGUAGUGUUAUGAAGCUGUCAGUGGCCUCGGGACCCUGUAUCAGCAUGGACAGAGACUACAACUGAUGUUACACCAACAUUGCCUGCAAGGGAUGCCACAGCCAGGCAUGUCCCAUCUGCAAGCGAUGGUCCCCAGCAAGGGGAACCCUGCUUUGGGCCCAUCCCAUUGCCUCUCCUAACCUGUCUGUGAGUGUGGUACUGAAGGCUUUCAGACAAACAUCCACUGAAUCCUAUGACACUUCUCCCCCUUCUCAGCAAAAUCCAUGUGUGAUUCUCACCUGGAGGAAGUAAAGCCUGCAUGAGGCCGUGGCAUGGUGCUUUGAGGAAGCACCCUCCAAACGAGGACCUCCAGAGCUGCAACCUGUCUCCCUCCAUGUGGGGCUUCCCUUGGCCAUUACAGGGAAGGUGUUGAUUCAGGUUCUGUUCCCAGGAGGGUCUCCCAAGCUUGCGUGCAUCUUGAAAAGGAGGUACCGAUGACAAAGUUGCAAGGAGGGAAUUUGAAGCCUCUUAUAUGGAGAGAGCUCCUUGGAGAAGCUGUGUUCAGCCUUACGCUUCCCACCAGAUCAGAGCCUUCCUGGGAUGAAAUUACUGUCAGUGAAGGGGCCCUUGCAGGAUGUGAUGUUCAUUCCCUCCUAGGUGUCUGCCUAGGGUGGAGAACCAGAAGCCACCCAAUGCCUUUUUAUUCCUUCAGGACACUGAUCCUCUAAAAGCUGCCAGAAUCAGCUACCAGGUCCAAGGCUCCUCCAAGACUGAGGAGAAGCUGGGUGCAAGGCUGGAUUGUGAACGCUGCCUGACUUCCAUAACCUUCACCAGACAUCAGCCAGACCAGCCUGCAGAGCCCAUGAGCACAGCGCUCUCCUAAUGUCCCUUUCCAGGUCAACUGGUGAUACCCAAGAGGUUCCUGAUGGGCCUCAGGCACUAGAGCCUCCCGUUACAUCUCUGAGCUGAGUCAAACCAGCUUAUUCUCUCUUUGGAUGACUCAAGCCUAGUUCAUUCGUACGCACACAGAGUAUGCUUCCCCCUGCUGGCAAUAUUUUGUUUAUUAUUUUUAAUCUAUGCCCAUAAAUUGGCAAGGAGGAGAAGGCAGAUAAAAUGGCAAGGGGAACCUCAGGAGACCGGUUGGGCUCAUUAAAUGUUUGGCACUCUGUGAUUAUCUGUUGGCAAUGAUAUGCCACUGCUAUGUUUUAACAUG
ensembl:lncRNA